rnacentral:misc_RNA from 1 species
GUAGGUGAACCUGCGGAAGGAUCAUUAGUGAAUUUUAGGGCGCUCUCACUUAACUGAGAGGCCUGACCUCCACUCUCCAACUCUGUGCACUAUUGGAAAUCAAAGGAAGAAGGGCUUGGUCGAAAGACUAGCUUUUCAGACCUCUUUUUCUAUCACUUUUUAAACAUGAGUCAAAGAAUGUAAACAAAACCAUAACAAAAAAAAACUUUCAACAACGGAUCUCUUGGCUCUC